GUGUCAGCAGCCGCGGUAAUACGAAGGGGGCUAGCGUUGCUCGGAAUUACUGGGCGUAAAGCGCACGUAGGCGGCGAUUCAAGUUAGAUGUGAAAGGCCUGGGCUCAACCCGGGAACUGCAUUUGAUACUGAAUUGCUAGAGUCCAAGAGAGGGUAGUGGAAUUCCCAGUGUAGAGGUGAAAUUCGUAGAUAUUGGGAAGAACACCAGUGGCGAAGGCGGCUACCUGGCUUGGUACUGACGCUCAGGUGCGAAAGCGUGGGGAGCGAACAGGAUUAGAAACCCCAGUAGUCC
rnacentral:rRNA from 1 species